rnacentral:rRNA from 1 species
UACCUGCAGCCCGAGUGGUGGUCGAUUUUAUUGAGUCUAAAGCGUUCGUAGCCGGUCCGUUAAAUCCUUGGGUAAAUCGGGAAGCUCAACUUUCCGACUUCCGAGGAGACUGGCGGACUUGGGACCGGGAGAGGCCAGAGGUACUUCUGGGGUAGGGGUAAAAUCCUGUAAUCCUAGAAGGACCACCGGUGGCGAAGGCGUCUGGCUAGAACGGAUCCGACGGUGAGGGACGAAGCCCUGGGUCGCAAAC